rnacentral:rRNA from 1 species
AUCUAUAGCCAUACUACCCUGAAUGUGCCUGAUUUUGGAAGCUAUCCAGGGUCAGGCCUAGUUAGUACUUGGAUGAGAGAACAUCUACUCAUCAAAAUGUCAGUUUUCUCUAAGUU